AGGCUAGAGUGUAUUGAUUACAAAGUACUAAAUCCUUCAUAUUCAACUGCAUUCCUGGAAUAGUCAUAAAAGGAGGGAUGUAAGAAAAUGAGCGUGUUAAAGUGAGAGAGGAAGGAACAAAGAGGUUCAGUUUAGGAUGAGAGCGAAGAGUGAGAAGGAGAGAGCAAAGUGAAGAGCUAUGAAGAAUGAGCUAUGGUGCCAGUCAAAGAGGAACAUUCAGAGGAGAAAAUAAGAUUGAGAUGAAGAUGACAAGAAAAAGGAAGAGUGCAAGACCGUGAAGCACAGUAGAUGACAGAUUUAAAGAGUGUGGGGGAAUGAAAGAGAGAACACUUCCAUGAGAAAGACAGCUGUGUAUGUGUGUGCACACUGUAAAAAUGAGAACUUGAAAAUGCUGGCCUUAAUCUUUCCUUGGGCAUCCCCUUGUGGGAAAUGAAUUAGCCUACCUAAAGUUAAUAUAUGCAUGUUCUGCAAAUUUGUUGGCUCCAAUCAAACAGUUCUUCUGAGGCACCAUCGACUACAGCAUGGAAGAGGAGCACACUGGCCCUGUGUCCACAUUGACUGUGCAUGUACCUUCAAAAUACCUGGCACACUGAAAUCACACCUUCCCAGAUCACACAGCAGGAAUGUCAAAUGGCAAGAGGAGUCACAUGUUUUUGUUAAUUAUGUGAAUUCAGAGAUAUAUGUAAUGAACGCAAGUUCUUAACUCAUCUUGGACAUCAUCUAAAAAAUCGAGAGACUGUGCAUUGCCCCUUUGUAAAGUGUGAAUUUAAAACCAACAAUCUUAAAAGCUUCAGCUGUAACAGAAGUAGAAAGCACAAAAAUCAUACUCUAAAGGAGAUUCAAACAAAAAGAGGAAACUCUGAAAAUGACCCUCAUGCCAUUGACCAACCAUUUGAUGCCUACCUUGAGGCAUAGACUUCAUCACAUAGUGGUCUAACACAAGAGUCAUGAAAAUGAUUUCUGCUGUUCUACUGUGUCACCACCAAGGAGCUAUAGGAGACUUUCAGAGUGGCCUUAGACGAGUACUUUCCUGAAACUGCACCAUGCCAGGAAGGGUGCCUUUGGUCAAGAGAUGGAAAACCCUCAGGACAAGCUUGAUGAACAGGGGACUACCAUCAAGUGAAAACAUAGUGUUCACUACUCUAAUCAAUGGACUACUGUUUUCUUUUGUUUUUGUGACAUCUGACAUUGCAGUACACUGAAAGAGCACAUCCCUAGAAGGUUGGUUUGGUCUUGGUUUGUUCAUGAGGAUUCAGAGAAGCUUUUCAAGCCAGCGAGUACAAUAGGAGGCUCAACAUUUUUAGAUUUUGGGGUGUAGCCCAACAUCUUUAGAUAUUCUCUUAAAAUAUCACACCACUUCCAUGUUUUCAUCAUGAAACCGAUCCAGAUGAUAGACAGACCAGAGGAGUCAAGAUUGGUAUUCUCACUGUCCUCAAAGAUCACGUUGCCCCUACCUCUCUGCUGUUGUGUUGAAAGAAGUCAUUGUCCUCACAGAUCUCCCAGACCUCCCCAUUGCCUUUGCCUGCCUGUUUGGCCUGCUCUAUGCCUUGAACAUAGACUUCCCCAAAGAAUCUAAGUACACCUUUGACUUGACUGAGACCAUCUUCAUGGAACUUUCCACCAAUUGCACACAGUGCGUCAGGAGACUCAAAACCAAGCUCUUACUCUAAGUCUGGUAAAGACUGACAUGUUGAAGGAGAGAUUUGGUCAGAGGCUGCAUCACGGAACAGUUGAGCACCUUCACAUGUGACUCCUCAAUGGUAAAAGUACUGUUGUUUUGUGAUAAGAAGCCAUUGUCUUACAAGAUCUUGCAGACCUGUCUUUUUGAUCUGCUGUAUUCCUUGAACAUUGAUACACCAUGUAAUUGCACAGAAGGUCUAUUGUGUUAAGUUGCUUUGGGCCAUAUGCCACCAUUUUAAGAAUUCACAUAAGUUCAACCUGUGCCCCAGGACAGUUGUCGUAUUUUAAAUGUUACACCCAAAUGAGGUUUUAUAUUUUAGCACUGCUAGAAGGUCUGAACCAAAAUAAAAACCUCAUUUGGGUGUAAGUGCUCACACAAACAUUUUAUGACCUCAUAAAGUUACAGACCCACUUUCUGUCUAUGGAGCAGCCCCAGAUUUUUCAUCCCAGUGACAACACCAAUUGAAGGGUUGUCUCUGAUUUCUAGCUUUAGGGGAGAGUGAUGCACAUUCAGAAAUACUGACAACUGUCCUGGGGCACAGGAAUAACAUGUGGAUUCUUAAAAUGGGUGACAUUCCCCUUAAGUGUAAUGCAUCCUCUAGCAUUCUAAUUUGUUGGAUUGUGAACUUCACUUUCUUGGCAUACUCUUUGCACUAUAUUGUGAUACCACUGAAGUCCACUGUUUUUCAUGCUGUACAGCACUACUUUGUUACAAAAGUACUUUUUGCACAUUGUUACAUAACUCUGGGAAGUUAUUUCAGGUUUCUUGGUCAGGUGUAUUGUCCUGAGUAGAGUUGCUCCUUCUAAGUCAAUUAUUGGUUUCUAAGGGUCUUAGUUAACUUAAUUUUAGUUUAAUUUUUAACAUCGGAAACUAUACACACCUCAGGCGUCAAAAUAUGCAGAUAUCUAUUAAUCUUUGAUUAAUGGUAGAUGCAAAGAAGUCAAUUUACAUAUGCAUUAAUUUGACUAAGAUGACUGUUUGUCAAGUGUUCUGCCAUUAACUGGCAAUGUUUGUGAACUUUAACCCAGAACAUUUGGCUCGUGUUGUGUACCGCACAAUUUUAUAGGUAUUGUAGGUUGUUUUGUGGAAUUGACACAGCCAUGUUAUGUUGUAUCACUUAAUGUAUAAUGCCAGUGUUUUUGACAUGUGGUUCCUCUGUACUUUUCUGACUUGAAAGUAUAGAGGAUUUAAUAGAUUGGAAUAUUAUCCUGUAAUGAGAUAUAAUUGAGAUAAUGGGUAGCUAUCUCAUGCAGAUUCAUCACUACCAUAGGCCUUCAGUGUAUUUGAAAAUGUAAUUUGGAUCCUUCAGAAUCCCACAAAUUAGCACAUUUGAUGAACAGCAUAAUAAUAGGAGGAUGAAGAGGCUGUAUUAUAGCAUAACAGCCAAUUUGUUUCCAAAAUUGUGUACAUUCAUAGUUAAAAACAAUAGAAGUUGAGUACUUUUUGGUAAUAUAUAACAUUCAUACUGUCUGAAAAUGUCAAAACUGACUUGUAUGAUUUCUUAAAUGUUACAGUUAUAGUAAAGUAUACA